rnacentral:misc_RNA from 1 species
AAGUCGUAACAAGGUAACCGUAGGUGAACCUGCGGUUGGAUCAUUAAAAAUGAAAGGUUAGCCUCUCACUGUGGUGCUGCCGCGCUUGUUUGCCCUAUGGCAGAUUGGCUACACAUCUUGUGCACUGUACCGUCUUUGGUGGUGGGAUGGCGGCUGUUCACAGCAGCUCGUCGUCUGUCAGCUUGGAUCGCAAUGGUCUGAGCCGUGGACAAGCCACCGCAUGUUUGUAAACACUUUGUUUUGUUGUUGGACUUACAUUUUCUUUGUAUUGAAUUACAAACAACUUUUGGCAACGGAUCUCUUGGUUCUC